rnacentral:rRNA from 1 species
UACCCUUGACAUGGUCAGGACCCUGCUGAAAGGUGGGGGUGCCCGAAAGGGAACUGAUACACAGGUGCUGCAUGGCUGUCGUCAGCUCGUGUCGUGAGAUGUUGGGUUAAGUCCCGCAACGAGCGCAACCCUUGUCCCUAGUUGCUACGCAAGAGCACUCUAGGGAGACUGCCGGUGACAAACCGGAGGAAGGUGGGGAUGACGUCAAGUCCUCAUGGCCCUUAUGGGUAGGGCUUCACACGUCAUACAAUGGUCGGAACAGAGGGUCGCCAACCCGCGAGGGGGAGCCAAUCCCAGAAAACCGAUCGUAGUCCGGAUCGCACUCUGCAACUCGAGUGCGUGAAGCUGGAAUCGCUAGUAAUCGCGGAUCAGCAUGCCGCGGUGAAUACGUUCCC